GAUGAACGCUGGCGGCGUGCCUAAUACAUGCAAGUCGAGCGAACGGACGAGAAGCUUGCUUCUCUGAUGUUAGCGGCGGACGGGUGAGUAACACGUGGAUAACCUACCUAUAAGACUGGGAUAACUUCGGGAAACCGGAGCUAAUACCGGAUAAUAUUUUGAACCGCAUGGUUCAAAAGUGAAAGACGGUCUUGCUGUCACUUAUAGAUGGAUCCGCGCUGCAUUAGCUAGUUGGUAAGGUAACGGCUUACCAAGGCAACGAUGCAUAGCCGACCUGAGAGGGUGAUCGGCCACACUGGAACUGAGACACGGUCCAGACUCCUACGGGAGGCAGCAGUAGGGAAUCUUCCGCAAUGGGCGAAAGCCUGACGGAGCAACGCCGCGUGAGUGAUGAAGGUCUUCGGAUCGUAAAACUCUGUUAUUAGGGAAGAACAUAUGUGUAAGUAACUGUGCACAUCUUGACGGUACCUAAUCAGAAAGCCACGGCUAACUACGUGCCAGCAGCCGCGGUAAUACGUAGGUGGCAAGCGUUAUCCGGAAUUAUUGGGCGUAAAGCGCGCGUAGGCGGUUUUUUAAGUCUGAUGUGAAAGCCCACGGCUCAACCGUGGAGGGUCAUUGGAAACUGGAAAACUUGAGUGCAGAAGAGGAAAGUGGAAUUCCAUGUGUAGCGGUGAAAUGCGCAGAGAUAUGGAGGAACACCAGUGGCGAAGGCGACUUUCUGGUCUGUAACUGACGCUGAUGUGCGAAAGCGUGGGGAUCAAACAGGAUUAGAUACCCUGGUAGUCCACGCCGUAAACGAUGAGUGCUAAGUGUUAGGGGGUUUCCGCCCCUUAGUGCUGCAGCUAACGCAUUAAGCACUCCGCCUGGGGAGUACGACCGCAAGGUUGAAACUCAAAGGAAUUGACGGGGACCCGCACAAGCGGUGGAGCAUGUGGUUUAAUUCGAAGCAACGCGAAGAACCUUACCAAAUCUUGACAUCCUUUGACAACUCUAGAGAUAGAGCCUUCCCCUUCGGGGGGGCAAAGUGACAGGUGGUGCAUGGUUGUCGUCAGCUCGUGUCGUGAGAUGUUGGGUUAAGUCCCGCAACGAGCGCAGCCCUUAAGCUUAGUUGCCAUCAUUAAGUUGGGCACUCUAAGUUGACUGCCGGUGACAAACCGGAGGAAGGUGGGGAUGACGUCAAAUCAUCAUGCCCCUUAUGAUUUGGGCUACACACGUGCUACAAUGGACAAUACAAAGGGCAGCGAAACCGCGAGGUCAAGCAAAUCCCAUAAAGUUGUUCUCAGUUCGGAUUGUAGUCUGCAACUCGACUACAUGAAGCUGGAAUCGCUAGUAAUCGUAGAUCAGCAUGCUACGGUGAAUACGUUCCCGGGUCU
rnacentral:rRNA from 1 species